UUCUCCUGGAAAACGGGUGGUAAUGCCGGAUGCUCCAGUUGAUCGCAUGGUCUUCUGGGAAAGCUUUCGCGGUAUGGGAUGGGGUCGCGUCCUAUCAGCUUGACGGCGGGGUAACGGCCCACCGUGGCUUCGACGGGUAGCCGGCCUGAGAGGGCGACCGGCCACAUUGGGACUGAGAUACGGCCCAGACUCCUACGGGAGGCAGCAGUGGGGAAUAUUGCACAAUGGGCGCAAGCCUGAUGCAGCGACGCCGCGUGAGGGAUGGAGGCCUUCGGGUUGUAAACCUCUUUUAUCGGGGAGCAAGCGAGAGUGAGUUUACCCGUUGAAUAAGCACCGGCUAACUACGUGCCAGCAGCCGCGGUAAUACGUAGGGUGCAAGCGUUAUCCGGAAUUAUUGGGCGUAAAGGGCUCGUAGGCGGUUCGUCGCGUCCGGUGUGAAAGUCCAUCGCUUAACGGUGGAUCCGCGCCGGGUACGGGCGGGCUUGAGUGCGGUAGGGGAGACUGGAAUUCCCGGUGUAACGGUGGAAUGUGUAGAUAUC
rnacentral:rRNA from 1 species